UGGAUAGAGAGGCAAAGUCCCUCCCCUACUGGUGGACCGCCAUGGGACCGAAAUUCAGAAAAAAAUAUGAUGGUAGUGAAUGGAGAAAGACAAAUUAAAUUUUUUAUCUUGUUUGAAUUGAGCCAUUAAUUACACAUAUGAUGUUCACAUAUGAAGUUUAUUGCUAAACUGUUGAAGUAUAAGACUGUGAAAAUGCGUAAUUAGAAAGACUACACACUUCAGAGUUGCAUGGAUGAUGUCUCGCUGAAGCUACGAUGUCUGUGUGUAUCGUACCAGGAAGGUAACGUUACGCAAAUGAGCAGAGGACCUUGUUUGUUCUUUUGCUUGUCUGCUGAAAACACUUCACUGGAUAAAACACAUCAAGUAAGAUAACGUCAUGUGUUGGGGAACAGAACUAAGCUAGCUAGCAAGCAAGUUGAGCAUCAAUCUAGGCGAGGUUAAUUGUGU